UACGGAGGAUGCGAGCGUUAUCCGGAUUUAUUGGGUUUAAAGGGUGCGUAGGCGGCCGAGUAAGUCAGCGGUGAAAUUUUGCAGCUUAACUGUAACAGUGCCGUUGAUACUGCAUGGCUAGGAUUUGGUUGCUGUGGGUGGAAUGUGUGGUGUGGCGGUGAAAUGCUUAGAUAUCACACAGAAUAUCGAUUGCGAAGGCAGCUCACAAAGCCAAGAUUGACGCUGAGGCACGAAAGUGUGGGGAUCAAA
rnacentral:rRNA from 1 species